rnacentral:SRP_RNA from 1 species
GCUGGGCAUGGUGGUGCAUGCCUGUAGUCCCAGCUACUCAGGAGGCUGAGACAGAAGAAUCGCUUGAACCUGGGAGGCAGGGGUUGCAGUGAGCCAAGACCAUGCCACUAUGCUCCAGCCUGGGUGACAGGGUGAGAUUCUGUCUCAA